AGAUUGAACGCUGGCGGCAUGCCUUACACAUGCAAGUCGAACGGCAGCACGGGAGCAAUCCUGGUGGCGAGUGGCGAACGGGUGAGUAAUACAUCGGAACGUGCCCAAUCGUGGGGGAUAACGCAGCGAAAGCUGUGCUAAUACCGCAUAAGAUCUACGGAUGAAAGCAGGGGAUCGCAAGACCUUGCGCGAAUGGAGCGGCCGAUGGCAGAUUAGGUAGUUGGUGAGGUAAAGGCUCACCAAGCCUUCGAUCUGUAGCUGGUCUGAGAGGACGACCAGCCACACUGGGACUGAGACACGGCCCAGACUCCUACGGGAGGCAGCAGUGGGGAAUUUUGGACAAUGGGCGAAAGCCUGAUCCAGCCAUGCCGCGUGCAGGAUGAAGGCCUCGGUGUAACUGCUUUGUACGAACGAAAGUACUACUUUCUAAUAAAGAGGAGUCAUGACGUACUGUAAGAAUAAGACACGGCUAACUAACG
rnacentral:rRNA from 1 species